rnacentral:ncRNA from 1 species
UACUUGGUUGAUCCUGCCAAGGAAGCACACUUAGGUCAUAGAUUAAGCCAUGCAAGUGUUAGUUCAGGUAACGAAACUGCGAAUAGCUCAUUAAUACGCUCAGAAUCUAUUUGGCGGCGACCAACAGGUCUUAAAUGGAUAGCAGCAGCAACUCUGGUGCUAAUACAUGCGAUUGUUUCUCCAGAUGUGAAUUAUGGAGGAAAAGUUGACCUCAUCAGAGGCACGCCAUUCGACUGAGUGACCUAUCAGCUUGUACUUAGGGUCUUUACCUAGGUAGGCUAUCACGGGUAACGGGCGGUUACCGUCGGACUGCCGGAGAAGGCGCCUGAGAGAUAGCGACUAUAUCCACGGGUAGCAGCAGGCGCGAAACUUUCCCACUCGAGACUUUCGGAGGAGGUAAGACCAGU